GCCUGGGUGGCUCAGUCGGUUGAGCAUCUGACUUUGGCUCAGGCCAUGAUCUCACGGUUCAUGGGUUCGAGUCCCGUGUUGGGCU
rnacentral:tRNA from 1 species